CCAUUGGGAAUAUUACUGUCAUGGUGUAUGUUGUCUUUGAUAUUUUUAGACUAUUUUAGGCAUGCUUAUGAGGGAACCCAUUCCUGUCAUCCUUUCACUAUAUGUAAUCCUACCUUGUUUAGUAUCUAUGAAUUCGCCUUCUGAUGAUCGAAA